rnacentral:lncRNA from 1 species
AGCAAGUGGCGGAGAAAACUAUCUCAUAGCACAUAACAGAGCCAGCACUUGUCAACUUUUUGGAUGAUCCAAACUAGUACCGUUCUUCAUUGUAAUCUUUCAAAAUAUUUCAUUUUCUUAGCUUUUCACAAGAUUGCAACAUUUUGCAGUUCAGUCUCCAGAGAAUUUUACUAAUUUAUCUUUCUACUCUUACAACAUAAAUACUGAUUCCUGCAUUUCUGAAGACUAUCUCAAGAUCUAGACUACUAUGGAAGAAGUUCUAGUGAGAGUCUGAGAUCUUUAGUGACUUCUCUUCCUACUGGUGUGAACAAACAGUGAUUCUUGCAUUUCUGGUGAAGAUCUCAAGAUCUAUAGACCAGAGUAGCAGUUUCACAUUAGG